AGCGAACGCUGGCGGCAGGCUUAACACAUGCAAGUCGAGCGGGCAUAGCAAUAUGUCAGCGGCAGACGGGUGAGUAACGCGUGGGAACGUACCUUUUGGUUCGGAACAACUGAGGGAAACUUCAGCUAAUACCGGAUAAGCCCUUACGGGGAAAGAUUUAUCGCCGAAAGAUCGGCCCGCGUCUGAUUAGCUAGUUGGUGAGGUAAUGGCUCACCAAGGCGACGAUCAGUAGCUGGUCUGAGAGGAUGAUCAGCCACAUUGGGACUGAGACACGGCCCAAACUCCCACGGGAGGCAGCAGUGGGGAAUAUUGGACAAUGGGCGCAAGCCUGAUCCAGCCAUGCCGCGUGAGUGAUGAAGGCCCUAGGGUUGUAAAGCUCUUUUGUGCGGGAAGAUAAUGACGGUACCGCAAGAAUAAGCCCCGGCUAACUUCGUG
rnacentral:rRNA from 1 species